UCUCAUUGUUUAGGAUCGGCA
rnacentral:piRNA from 1 species